UACGGAGGGUGCAAGCGUUAUCCGGAUUAACUGGGUUUAAAGGGUGCGCAGGCGGAUAUGUAAGUCAGUGGUGAAAUCUCCGGGCUUAACCCGGAAACUGCCGUUGAUACUAUAUAUCUUGAAUGCUGUGGAGGUAAGCAGAAUAUGUCAUGUAGCGGUGAAAUGCUUAGAGAUGACAUAGAAUACCUAUUGCGAAGGCAGCUUACUACGCAGAUAUUGACGCUCAUGCACGAAAGCGUGGGGAUCAAACAGG
rnacentral:rRNA from 1 species